rnacentral:rRNA from 1 species
UACGGGGGGAGCAAGCGUUGUUCGGAUUUACUGGGCGUAAAGGGCGCGUAGGCGGCGCAACAAGUCACUUGUGAAAUCUCCGGGCUUAACCCGGAGCGGUCAAGUGAUACUGUCGUGCUAGAGUGCGGAAGGGGCUACUGGAAUUCUCGGUGUAGCGGUGAAAUGACGUAGAUAUCGAGAGGAACACCUGCGGCGAAGGCGGGUAGCUGGGCCGACACUGACGCUGAUGCGCGAAAGCCAGGGGAGCGAACGGG